UUUAUUGGAUAGAAAGGCUUAAAGAUGGGCUGCGCCACGUUAAUGCAGGCAGCACAUAGCCAGGCGCUAGUAACAGAACAAAAUCCACCCCACGUAACGGGCAAAUUAACAGUAUUGUUAUUUAAAAAAACAACAACCGUAAUGGGUUUUCUAGUAACGACGUGACAGUGCAAUAUAACGCAUAUGAUAAGGCCUUGACGUACCCUCCAUCUCCAUGUCCUCGGGCUCGCUGAGCUGCUGCUCGCCGGCUUUCUGCUGCUGCUGCUGCGUGUGAUGGUGGUUCAUGUUGGCGGCUUUGAGAAUGGGAAGAUGCUUGGGCUCUUUGUCUCCCUCGGUCCGGUCUGAUGGCGGUUCCGCGGGCAGAGGCUGGUGGGGAGUCGGAGGACGCGGAGGUGGGGUAAACAGGUCGAGCCUUUGCGGCUGGGCCUGCACUAAGACGACCUCGGCCUUGUCUGCUGUCAGCGCCGGGGAUGGAGGAAGGGAGGCCGGUGGGGGAGCAGGCAGAGAAACGCGGACGUAUUUGCUCGCUAUUCGCCCAAUCUCGGCGCCUGGGUGAAGGGAUGCUAACGGUAAGGAUAGUCGGAGGCCUCGGGCUUCUGCUUCACGAAGGCCCGAUGAAUGAAACCCCGGCUUUCCCCCGUAGAAGUGCGGGGCGAUUGCAACUCACAACAACCUGCAGCCGGGGAAAACACAGAUAGCCCAGCUGGAGCUAACAAAAGUGAUAAAACAAGAAACAGCGCAGCUCAUGCGCCUCCGCAAGAUUAUUUUAAAUACAACUUUCCCUGCAAUAUUUCCAGUCCGUGUGCUCCUCCGAUUGUCCCUCUUCUGGGGGGAA